AACGAACGCUGGCGGCAUGCCUAACACAUGCAAGUCGAACGAGACCUCGGGUCUAGUGGCGCACGGGUGCGUAACGCGUGGGAACCUGCCCUUAGGUUCGGAAUAACUCCCCGAAAGGGGUGCUAAUACCGGAUAAUGUCUUCGGACCAAAGAUUUAUCGCCUUUGGAUGGGCCCGCGUUGGAUUAGCUAGUUGGUAGGGUAAAAGCCUACCAAGGCGACGAUCCAUAGCUGGUCUGAGAGGAUGAUCAGCCACACUGGGACUGAGACACGGCCCAGACUCCUACGGGAGGCAGCAGUGGGGAAUAUUGGACAAUGGGCGAAAGCCUGAUCCAGCAAUGCCGCGUGAGUGAUGAAGGCCUUAGGGUUGUAAAGCUCUUUUACCCGGGAUGAUAAUGACAGUACCGGGAGAAUAAGCUCCGGCUAACUCCGUG
rnacentral:rRNA from 1 species